rnacentral:rRNA from 1 species
GACGAACGCUGGCGGCGUGCUUAACACAUGCAAGUCGAACGGUGAAGCAGGAGCUUGCUCUUGUGGAUCAGUGGCGAACGGGUGAGUAACACGUGAGCAACCUGCCCCUGACUCUGGGAUAAGCGCUGGAAACGGCGUCUAAUACUGGAUAUGUGAUGUGACCGCAUGGUCUGCAUCUGGAAAGAAUUUCGGUUGGGGAUGGGCUCGCGGCCUAUCAGCUUGUUGGUGAGGUAAUGGCUCACCAAGGCGUCGACGGGUAGCCGGCCUGAGAGGGUGACCGGCCACACUGGGACUGAGGCACGGCCCAGACUCCUGCGGGAGGCAGCAGUGGGGAAUAUUGCACAAUGGGCGGAAGCCUGAUGCAGCAACGCCGCGUGAGGGAUGACGGCCUUCGGGUUGUAAACCUCUUUUAGCAGGGAAGAAGCGAAAGUGACGGUACCUGCAGAAAAAGCACCGGCUAACUACGUGCCAGCCGCCGCAGUAA